CGCUUCUAUAUAUUACAUAAGACUAAAUUAAUCCCUACACGAAGACAGUUUAUUGUGGAUGAUGGAUCAUGGGUUUGUUACUCAUACAUCCAGAGCAGGGCCUUGGAAAUCACAUCAUCAUUGCAUUCCCAGGGAAAGAAAUGAUUGUCACAUCCAGACAUGUUUAUCAUGGAGAGAGAGGCUGAUCUGGGCCGAUCUACUUGCCGAGAGAACACUGCCAUCUCACAUGAUGAGCGCUCCGAGGGCAGAGUCGGUGUUGACUGCCAGUUGCCAGCAAGAAAACAAUUUCACUGUAAACGUGCUUCCUGUGGGCAAGUUUAUGUUUUAGACCUCUUUGUUUCUAGCCCUGCUUAAAAGGCUUCGGAUAGUAGGUAGGUACUUUCUGUGUAUUUGUUAAUGCUGAGCCAAGAAAUAUAUGUAUGCAUGUUGUAUACUUGUGUCUCUAUCUCUCAAUCACAUUUAUUGAGUGCAUUCCAUAUACUACGCUUGAGUAGUAAGUGCUUUACCUAGACUCAAAUCCCCAACAAAAAUGGUGAAUAAAGGAACAAGUCUGUGGGCA
rnacentral:lncRNA from 12 species